rnacentral:rRNA from 1 species
GCCUUUCGGGGCGUGGUGGGAAGAGAUGUAUUUAUUAGAUCGAAACCAGCGCUUUUCUGUGCGCCUUUCGGGGCGUGUGGAGAGUAGAAUGGUGAGUCAUAAUGACUGUUCGGAUCGCGUGGCGGCCAUUUUGUGGUGUGCCUGCGACAGAUCGUUCGAAUUUCUGCCCUAUCAGGUCGAAGUGAGGGUCGUGUCCUCACUUGCCUUUGACGGGUGACGGGGGAUGAGAGUCCGAUUCCGGAGAGGGAGCCUGAGAAACGGCUACCACAUCUAAGGAAGGCAGCAGGCGCGCAAAUUACGCAAUGAGAAGACCUUGACGUAGUGACAAGAACUAACGAUACCGGGCUUUUUUGGUCUGGUAAUCGGAAUGAGUGUUUUGUAAAAGCCAUAACGAGGAUCCACUGGAGGGCAAGUCUGGUGCCAGCAGCCGCGGUAAUUCCAGCUCCAGUAGCGUAUAUUAAAGUUGCUGCAGUUAAAAAGCUCGUAGUUGGAUGUCUGGUGUUGUGCGCCUGACCGCAUUGUGGCGAAAUGCCCGGUGCUGUGUCGGUUUUUUUGGGUCGGUGGGUUGUUUCUUUGAGGAGCAGCUUGCUGACUUGCGCGCGGGCCAUGUUUUGGUUUGUUCUUUUUCGAAAAGCAGACCAUCAUUUACUUUGAAGAAAUUGGAGUGUUCCAGGCAGGCAAAAUCUAAAUUGCCUUGAACAGAGUAGCAUGGAAUAAUGAGAGACGGCUUUGGCCAAGCUUGUUGGUGUUUGGGUCGAAGUAAUGAUGAAUAGGGACAGUUGGGGGUGCUCGUAUGUCGGGGCCAGAGGUGAAAUUCUUGGAUUCUCGACGGACGAACUAAUGCGAAAGCAUUCACCAAGGAUGUCCUCGUUAAUCAAGAACGAAAGUUGGGGGAUCGAAGACGAUCAGAUACCGUCGUAGUCUCAACCAUAAACGAUACCGACCAGGGAUGGGCGCGCGUCGCAAUUUUGACCUUCGAAAGGAGGUUGUUGACCGCGUCUGCACCUUGUGGGAAACCAGAGUGUUUGGGUUCCGGGGGGAGUAUGGUCGCAAGACUGAAACUUAAAGGAAUUGACGGAAGGGCACCACCAGGAGUGGAGCCUGCGGCUUAAUUUGACCCAACACGGGGAAGCUUACCAGGUCCGGACAUGGUGAGGAUUGACAGAUUGAAGUUCUUUCAUGAUUCUAUGGGUGGUGGUGCAUGGCCGUUCUUAGUUGGUGGAGUGAUCUGUCUGGUCAAUUCCGUUAACGAACGAGACCUCGGCCGGUUGGUUGCGUUGUUUUAUUAUGUUGUUUCUCUUCGGAGGAAUAGCACCCUCGCGG